CACGUAGGGUGCGAGCGUUGUCCGGAAUUAUUGGGCGUAAAGAGCUCGUAGGCGGUGUGUCGCGUCGGCCGUGAAAACCUGCAGCUUAACUGUGGGCUUGCGGUCGAUACGGGCAUCACUGGAGUUCGGCAGGGGAGACUGGAAGUUCCUGGUGUGAGCGGUGAAAUGCGCAGAUAUCAGGAGGGAACACCGGUGGCGAAGGCGGGUCUCUGGGCCGAAUACUGACGCUGGAGGAGCGAAAGCCGGUGGGGAGCGA
rnacentral:rRNA from 1 species